rnacentral:rRNA from 1 species
CAGCAGCCGCGGGAAUACGAAGGGGGCUAGCGUUGCUCGGAAUGACUGGGCGUAAAGGGCGCGUAGGCGGUUUUGACAGUCAGAUGUGAAAUUCCCGGGCUUAACCUGGGGGCUGCAUUUGAGACGUCAAGACUAGAGUGUGAGAGAGGGUUGUGGAAUUCCCAGUGUAGAGGUGAAAUUCGUAGAUAUUGGGAAGAACACCGGUGGCGAAGGCGGCAACCUGGCUCAUUACUGACGCUGAGGCGCGAAAGCGUGGGGAACAAACAGGAUUAGAUACCCCAGUAGUCCCUGUCUCUUAUAC